rnacentral:rRNA from 1 species
GUGUCAGCAGCCGCGGUAAGACAGAGGUGGCGAGCGUUGUUCGGAAUCACUGGGCUUAAAGGGCGAGUAGGCGGUGGGGCAAGUCUGAGGUGGAAUCCUAUGGCUUAACCAUAGAACUGCCUUAGAAACUGUUUCACUUGAGUCAGUGAGGGGAGGGCGGAAUUCCUGGUGUAGCGGUGAAAUGCGUAGAUAUCAGGAGGAAGGCCUGUGGCGAAGGCGGCCCUCUGGCACUGUACUGACGCUGAGGCGCGAAAGCGUGGGGAGCAAACAGGAUUAGAUACCCUCGUAGUCC